AUUGAACGCUGGCGGCGUGCCUAACACAUGCAAGUCGAGCGGUAACAGGUGUAGCAAUACAUGCUGACGAGCGGCGGACGGGUGAGUAACGCUUGGGAAUCUGCCUAUUAGUGGGGGACGAACCCGGGGAAACGUCGGCGUAAUACCGCAUACGCUCUACGGAGGAAAGACCGGGGACCGGCAAGGCCUGGCGCUAAUAGAUGAGCCCAAGUCGGAUUAGCUAGUUGGUAGGGUAAUGGCCUACCAAGGCGACGAUCCGUAACCUGGUCUGAGAGGACGACCAGUCACACCGGAA
rnacentral:rRNA from 1 species